rnacentral:tmRNA from 1 species
AAGGGCCGUGCCAGUGCGGCCCGCGGGGACUUUUCACACUGGCUGGGCCCGUCAACCGGACAUGUUCGCCUGAUCCGGUGGGUCGAGCAGAGACGAUGCGCGAACUGCGCACGGAGAAGCCCUGGCGAGGUGAUGAAGGACCCGGGUUCGAUUCCCGGCAGCUCCACCG